rnacentral:rRNA from 1 species
UACGGAGGGGGCUAGCGUUGUUCGGAAUUACUGGGCGUAAAGCGCGCGUAGGCGGACCUGCAAGUCGGGGGUGAAAGCCCGAGGCUCAACCUCGGAACUGCCUUCGAUACUGCGGGUCUCGAGUCCGGGAGAGGUGAGUGGAAUUCCUAGUGUAGAGGUGAAAUUCGUAGAUAUUAGGAAGAACACCAGUGGCGAAGGCGACUCACUGGCCCGGUACUGACGCUGAGGCGCGAAAGCGUGGGGAGCAAACAGG